rnacentral:misc_RNA from 1 species
AAGUCGUAACAAGGUUUCCGUAGGUGAACCUGCGGAAGGAUCAUUAACACGUAUCCAACGUUAAACAACCCUGUGAACCUUCAUUCCUCGAGCCCUAACAAAAGCAAUCCUUGGCUUCUGCAAGGCAGUUAGUGGGUGAAAGUGCCACUGAUUGCUUAAGCAGAUAACCGACACUUUGCGUUAAGCAAAAUGCGGAUCAUCGAGUGCCCACACGGCCGAUGAACGAGUCUCUGGGCGCAAGCCCCCAAAUUAACUACCUCUAAACCUUAGCGGCCGCCUCGUGCUGUCGCUGUCGUGAAAGCUGAACAACUGUUAACAAUGGAUAUCUUGGUUCUC